GCCCAGACCUCCAAACCCCUCCCCCUGCUACCUGCAGGGGGAAAACUUCCAAACCUGGAUCCUUCCAGCAUCAGACCUGUACAUGCAUCUGCCGUCCUGCCAGCUCCUGACUGGCCCACAGGCCUUUCGGACCAAACAUGUCAAAUCUGAGCACUUCGCGUUCCCGGAACCUGCUCCUCCUCUGGUAUUCCCGAGCUUGGGGAAUAGCGCUGCUGCCCACCCAGGCUUGUGGGCCAGAAACUCAGCUGAAGAGUUGUCACCCUGCUGCCCAGGGUAUUAGUAUGAACCCCAGACUACAGAUGAGAAAAC